GCCAGGUGUGGUGGUGGGCGCCUGUAAUCCCAGCUACUUGGGAAGCUGAGGUAGGAGAAUCACUUGAGCCCAGGAGGCAGGGGUUGCAGUGAGCUGAGAUUGUGCCACUGCACUCCAGCCUGGGCAACAGAGUGAAAAUCCAUCUCAA
rnacentral:SRP_RNA from 1 species